CAAGCAGAGAAGCAGCACUUUAUCUCUGUGUCUAUACCAACCAUGCUGAGCCUUCAGACGCUUCAGGAUGCCAGGAUGUUGAGACUUUUCCCAGGCCUGCUCUCAGUCCUUCUUCUCUUGACCUCAUCAUCACCUGCUGCAGGUGUGCAGAUCAGAUUAUCUGCUUCUGGAUCUACUCGGUGCUCUGGAAGAG